AGUGGGUGAAGAGGGCGGGGCGAAGAAGAUCGCCUCCACACAGAGCCGAAGCGCCGCAAAUCCUUGGCUCCGCCCCCCGCUCCCCUCAGGCCUCGACUCCAGGAGGCCGCGGCGGAGCUUCUCAGUGUGGAGCGGGCAGAGCUCUGAGGCGGAGGAGGCCUCGGCCGGUUUUGAAUCGGUCCAGAUUUGGGGGGCUGCUGCCCUGGACUGGACCUUGCCUGUCUGUGGGAAGCACUGGUAGCCAGAACAGAGCAAGGAGAGAAUCGGUGUUACCUCGAGGCGGGGCAAAAGCAGUGAAGUGAAGGGGCAGCGGUCCCAAGAAGGAGAAUGGCCGUGAUCGGGUCUGCCGGCGGCGGCGUGGCCGCUGUCCCCGCGGCCCCAUCUUGCGGCGGGGGGGAGCGGGGGCGGCCCGGUGAGAGGGACCCGGGGAAGGAGGGAGGUGCCGCACCAGGCCCGAGGAGGUGGGAUGGAGGGUCUGAGCCCACUGCAGCACUGCCGCUCGGUGCCCCCUGAUCCUCAGUGGGAGGCCCACUGCAGGGGGGGGACGGUGGCAGUGCAGGGGAGGGAGCGGCAGGGAAGAGGGGGUUGCCGGGGACCGCUUCUCUCUCUUCUUCCCCAGCCACUUGCAUUUCUCUCCUCCUUCCCUUUCUUCCUUCAAAGUAAAAAAUGUUUCCACAGCACCCCGACAUGGGAGGACCCCAGCCCACCAGCCCAACCAGCUCCAACUUCUACCCGGACUCUCAGCGGCACUCUUCUAAUCCCUGGAGUAGAUUCAAGGCAAUGAGGUUGUCCCACUCGGGGCUCACAGUCUUAAUCCCCAUUUUACCCAUGAGGUA